rnacentral:hammerhead_ribozyme from 1 species
AUCCAGCUGACGAGUCCUAAAGUAGAACGAAGUGCGCGUCAAACUGGAU